rnacentral:rRNA from 1 species
GACGGAGGAUGCAAGCGUUAUCCGGAAUUAUUGGGCGUAAAGCGUCCGCAGGUGGCUAGUCAAGUCUGCUGUUAAAGCGUGCAGCUCAACUGCAUAUGGGCGGUGGAAACUGAUUAGCUAGAGUAUGGUAGGGGUAGAGGGAAUUCCCGGUGUAGCGGUGAAAUGCGUAGAUAUCGGGAAGAACACCAGUGGCGAAAGCGCUCUACUGGGCCAAAACUGACACUGAGGGACGAAAGCUAGGGGAGCGAAAGGGAUUAGAACCCCUGUAGUCC